AAGGAACUAUGGAGGAAGGGGCCCCAUACUGCAAUCGCUCUGCAACACUUCGACACUCUCUCGUCGCACCAUGAAGCUGAUUUCGCUGUUGAUGGCCCUGGUUGUGGCCCUGUCUGGCCUCCUGGGUUCAACUCGUGCCAUGCCUGGCCCCUCCCCUGUGGCUGACCCCGUGGCUGAGCCUGACCCCGUGGCUGACCCCUGGUUCUUCAAACGCAAGCACUACUACCCCCGCCGUAACUACUACCCCCGCUACCACCACUACCAUCACUGGUGAACAUGAAUAAACGUUUGUCAUUAGCAAAUAAACGUUUAUUCCGACAGUGAAUAGCAAUGAACUUGAAUGUCAA
rnacentral:lncRNA from 1 species